GGGAUAAAUGCCAUUCCAUUUCCCUCACCUUCGUCUUCCCGGAAAGGUGCUGACAAAUAUCAUUGGCCUUCAGAUGGGGGGGUCUGGGCCUCUCAUGUUGGAGAUAAGAGAGAAAGCAAAUGAACUGGGAGAGAGACGUGUAAUGCCAUUCGACAGACUGGCAUAUGAAGAAAGGCCCCAGAAUGAGUGUCAUCAAAACAAGUUCUUCCUUAUUCUGUCGCCCCCCCCCCCUCUUUCCUAACUUGCCUUUCUGAGACCAGACUCACAAACAGUCUGGGCCACGGCUGUUUGAUCUGCGAAAGGUCCACCGAAUGGUUUUCUUUCUUCGUUGUUAGAAGAUCGACGAGCAUCCUUUCUCCAAGUCUGACAACCUGCAUCUAAUGAGCUCACUUGAAACGAACCUAUUGUCAUGAAAUACAGGGGACAUGGGUUCCCUGUAUUUAUAGGAGGCCUAUUUACCUGCGAGGCAGUGCAGAGACUCAAGUGCAAAAAGAGCAGCGGAGACCAGGGGGCGAUGGCACAACAGUGGAAUAAAGAAAUCCUGGAUAACUGAAAAAGCACAGCCUGACGUCACAUCGCGUGAUCUGCUUAAUGCGUUGCACGUUUGCCGAGCCGGGAUGAGAAGGUGGACUCAAUCCAGGCGUACACAGCUGGGAUGAGAGCACGUUCACGGCUUUAGUAGUGGACCACGGUGUCAAUCACAGAUUCAAGCAGAAAUGGAGACGACACGUGUGCAUAUUUUUCACCCGCUGAGUAGAAACUAAAUAUGGAAACUCAUGAGGAGGUGAAGCAUCCGAUGUGCAAACAAAGGAAAAAACAGCAGCAGUAAUUAAAGAGAGAGAAAAAGGCCGGCAGACAAUCGCACACCGACUGAAUGUGGAAGGAUUUAAAUAUAUUUACUUACUAGGAAAGUUGUACACUCUGUUUUAAUUGCUUUUAAUAUGCUUGUUUUAUAUUUAAUUGUGCUAAAUGUGCUGGUUUUACCGUAAAGUGUCUUUGAGCAGCAUGUAAAGCACUAUAUAAAUAAAAUGUAUUAUUAUUUAGCCUACUUUGCCUUAAAAGUGAGCAGAGGGAAUUAAUGUUCCUCUGGAAAUUUACCCUAAAGACCCUUAUUCGCAAUGCGUGAAUACGUUUUACAACCAUAUGCACAAAUCUCUGUGUCUAAUUCUAAAUAUCUUUCUACAAUUAAUGUUCAUACAGAAAAAACAUGACUGGG
ensembl:lncRNA